ACGAGUUAGGGUCUUUCUAGGCCCGACCUCCCAACCCCAUGUUUAUUGAACCUCUGUUGCUUCGGCGGACCCGUCUCACGACCGCCGGAGGACCGCUGCGAGGCGUCCUCUGGCCAGCGUCCGCCGGUGGCCAACCGCAAAACUCUGAAAUGAAUCGUGUCAUAUCUAAGUCCAUGAUUAAAUUAAAGCA
rnacentral:misc_RNA from 1 species